rnacentral:tRNA from 1 species
GCAGCUGUGGUACACUGGUAACGGUGUUCGCUUUCAAAGCGAAUGGUCCUGGGUUCGAUGCCCAUCUGCGCC